rnacentral:rRNA from 10 species
CUAGUCUUAUCGGUGGAUCACUCGGCUCGUGGAUCGAUGAAGAACGCAGCCAACUGCGAUAAUUAGUGUGAACUGCAGAAACCUUGAACACAGAACUUUCGAAUGCACAUUGCGCCAUUGGAGUGACAUCCAUUGGCACGCCUGGUUCAGGGUCGUAA